AAGUCGUAACAAGGUUUCCGUAGGUGAACCUGCGGAAGGAUCAUUCUUGAAUUUUGCUUUGCAAAAUACUCUGUGAACUGUUUUAAUAGCCCAUUGGUGUGUUAAACACCGAUUGGGUCAAAUAAUCAACAAUAAUAUUUAUAUCGUUACUUAAACUAUAAUAAAUACAACUUUUAGCAACGGAUCUCUAGGCUCUC
rnacentral:misc_RNA from 1 species